UACAGAGGUCUCAAGCGUUGUUCGGAUUCACUGGGCGUAAAGGGUGCGUAGGCGGUUCGUUGCGUCGGCUGUGAAAACCCGCAGCUCAACUGCGGGCUUGCAGCCGAUACGGGCGGGCUGGAGUUCGGUAGGGGAGACUGGAAUUCCUGGUGUAGCGGUGAAAUGCGCAGAUAUCAGGAGGAACACCGGUGGCGAAGGCGGGUCUCUGGGCCGAUACUGACGCUGAGGAGCGAAAGCGUGGGGAGCGAACAGG
rnacentral:rRNA from 1 species